GUAUGUAUGCAUGUAUGUAUGUAUGUAUGUAUGCAUGUAUGUAUGUAUGUAUGUAUGCAUGUAUGUAUGUAUGCAUGCAUGUAUGCAUGUAUGCAUGCAUGCAUGUAUGCAUGUAUGCAUGUAUGCAUGUAUGCAUGUAUGCAUGUAUGCAUGUAUGCAUGUAUGC
rnacentral:sRNA from 1 species